UGAGCUUCAUUGAACCAUUCCUACAAUUGAUUAAGGCAUUGGAUGUAGCAAGAAAAGGUCGACCUAAAAUGAUGGGAAUUUGGUUCUUAGGAUUCGAGACGGGUUGAGUCUCGAGAACAACAAAGUCAACGGGAAAAAUAAAGUCACCGAUUUUAAUCAAAACGUCCUCAAUAAUUCCCUUAGGCAUUUUAAUCGAACGAUCGGCAAGUUGAAGGGUCAUAUUGGUGGUCUUGAGAUCCCCUAAACCUAGGGCUUGGUAGACCGAGAAAGGAAGAAGAUUCACACUCGCUCCUAAAUCAAGUAAAGCCUUAUCCACAAAAGUAUUGCCUAUGACACAAGAAAUUGUAGGACAACCGGGGUCCUUAUAUUUCACGGGAAUUU
rnacentral:lncRNA from 1 species